rnacentral:rRNA from 1 species
UACAGAGGGGGCGAGCGUUGUUCGGAAUUACUGGGCGUAAAGGGCGCGUAGGCGGCCUUCUAAGUCGAACGUGAAAUCCCCGGGCUCAACCCGGGAACUGCGUCCGAUACUGGGAGGCUUGAAUCCGGGAGAGGGAUGUGGAAUUCCCAGGUGUAGCGGUGAAAUGCGAUAGAUAUCUGGAGGAACACCGGUGGCGAAGG